rnacentral:tRNA from 1 species
ACGCUCAUGGUGUAAUGGUAGCAUAUUAGUCUCCAAAACUUACGAUUAAGGUUCGAAUUCUUAUGGGCGUG